rfam:Magnaporthe poae ATCC 64411 unplaced genomic scaffold supercont1.13, whole genome shotgun sequence.
GCUGGAAUGGAGUAGUGGUUAACUCGCUGCCCUCCCACUUUAAUCGUAGAGAGGCAGAAACUCGGGUUCGAACCCCGAUUCCAGCA